UGGGGAAUAUUGGACAAUGGGCGAAAGCCUGAUCCAGCAAUGCCGCGUGAGUGAAGAAGGCCUUAGGGUUGUAAAGCUCUUUCACCCACGACGAUGAUGACGGUAGUGGGAGAAGAAGCCCCGGCUAACUCCGUGCCAGCAGCCGCGGUAAUACGGAGGGGGCUAGCGUUGUUCGGAAUUACUGGGCGUAAAGCGCACGUAGGCGGCGCGACAAGUCAGAGGUGAAAGGCCUGGGCUCAACCUGGGAACUGCCUUUGAUACUGGCGUGCUUGAGUCCGGAAGAGGGUGGCGGAAUUCCCAGUGUAGAGGUGAAAUUCGUAGAUAUUGGGAAGAACACCGGUGGCGAAGGCGGUCACCUGGUCCGGUACUGACGCUGAGGUGCGAAAGCGUGGGGAGCAAACAGGAUUAGAUACCCCCGUAGUCC
rnacentral:rRNA from 1 species